rnacentral:rRNA from 1 species
GAUGAACGCUGGCGGCGUGCCUAAUACAUGCAAGUCGAGCGAACGGACGAGAAGCUUGCUUCUCUGAUGUUAGCGGCGGACGGGUGAGUAACACGUGGAUAACCUACCUAUAAGACUGGGAUAACUUCGGGAAACCGGAGCUAAUACCGGAUAAUAUUUUGAACCGCAUGGUUCAAAAGUGAAAGACGGUCUUGCUGUCACUUAUAGAUGGAUCCGCGCUGCAUUAGCUAGUUGGUAAGGUAACGGCUUACCAAGGCAACGAUGCAUAGCCGACCUGAGAGGGUGAUCGGCCACACUGGAACUGAGACACGGUCCAGACUCCUGCGGGAGGCAGCAGUAGGGAAUCUUCCGCAAUGGGCGAAAGCCUGACGGAGCAACGCCGCGUGAGUGAUGAAGGUCUUCGGAUCGUAAAACUCUGUUAUUAGUGAAGAACAUAUGUGUAAGUAACUGUGCACAUCUUGACGGUACCUAAUCAGAAAGCCACGGCUAACUACGUG